CCUACGGGAGGCAGCAGUGGGGAAUAUUGCGCAAUGGGCGAAAGCCUGCCGCAGCGACGCCGCGUGAGGGAUGAAGGUCUUCGGAUCGUAAACCUCUGUCAGCAGGGAAGAACGGUCACUGUGCUAAUCAGCAGUGAAUUGACGGUACCUGCAAAGAACGCACCGGCUAACUCCGUGCCAGCAGCCGCGGUAAUACGGAGGGUGCGAGCGUUAAUUGGAAUUAUUGGGCGUAAAGCGCUCGUAGGCGGUAUGUCAAGUCAAGGGUGAAAUCCCCGCGCUCAACGUGGGAAUUGCCGUUGAAACUGGCAAACUGGAGUGUGGGAGAGGAGAGUGGAAUUCGAGGUGUAGGAGUGAAAUCCGUAGAUAUCUGGAGGAACAUCAGUGGCGAAGGCGACUAUCUGGCACAUAACUGACGCUGAGGAGCGAAAGCGUGGGUAGCAAACAGGAUUAGAUACCCGGGUAGUC
rnacentral:rRNA from 1 species